CGCGCCACAUACACACACACAUAUCACGCAGGCACUUGUAAUCCGUGAUUCAUUGUCGCGCAACUGCGCGCAAAAAGUGUAUGCGAUUGUGCGUAGCAAUUGAUGUGAUGUUUUGCGUCGGCUGCAACGAGAAUGCCGAUACAGGCACCGCAGUGGAAUGAAUAUUUAUCUUGUCCAAUCUGCUGCCAUGAGUUCGACGUGGCGGAGCGAGGUCCGAUCUCGCUGGGCUGUGGGCACACCAUCUGCCGUACCUGCUUGGCCAACCUUCACCGCAAACAGUGUCCUUUCGAUCAGAGUACAAUCAACACGGAGAUCGACCGAUUGCCAGUAAAUGAGGCGCUGCUACGUCUGGUGGGCAACAGCCAAAUCCCGGCGAGCGUGGCAGCGGCGUACCAGAAGCUGCUACCAGCUGAAGAGCAUGCUAAUUACCUGGUGGCCAAGAGCUGCAUCGAGCAACUGGCUCUGUAUCUCAAGCCAUGCCAAGCCGCCAGCCCCACCGUGGCUGCAGGCGUAGGUCUGGUGUCGCGACCGAUGCAACGCAAACUGGUGACGUUGCUGGGCUGCCAGCUGGUGGAGCCGGAAGGCCGGGCGCGGGCGGUGCGCGCCGCCCGCAGCCUGGGCGAGCGAUCCGUCACCGAAUUGAUAUUGCAACAUCAGAAUCCGCAGCAGCUCAGCGCCAACCUCUGGGCGGCGGUCCGCGCUCGCGGCUGUCAGUUCCUCGGGCCAGCGAUGCAGGAGGAAGUUCUCAAGCUCGUCCUGCUGGCCUUGGAAGAUGGCUCGGCGUUGUCGCGGAAGGUGCUGGUGAUGUUCGUGGUGCAACGUCUGGAGCCACAUUUCCCACAAGCAUCGAAAACCAGCAUCGGGCACGUGGUGCAGCUAUUGUACAGAGCGAGUUGCUUCAAGGUGUCUAAGCGGGAGGGUGACUCGUCGCUGAUGCAGCUGAAGGAAGAGUUCCGCACCUACGAGGCUCUGAGACGCGAGCAUGACGCCCAAAUUGUGCAGAUCGCCACGGAAGCUGGCCUCAGAAUCGCGCCGGAUCAGUGGUCGGCGCUGUUGUACGGCGACACAGCCCACAAGUCCCACAUGCAGAGUAUCAUCGACAAGCUGCAGACGCCGCAGUCGUUCGCUCAGAGUGUGCAGGAGCUCGUAAUAGCGCUCCAACGCACGCCGGAUCCAGGACAAUUGAGCGGUCUGCGACCGCAGUUGGAACUGUUGGCUGCUAUUGAUCCCAGUCCAGAAGCGGAGCCACCGUCCCUGGCGGACUGUCGGGCUGCGUUGGAGGCUGUUAGGAUAGUGGUGGCUGCGCUGGUGGAUUUUGUGAGGCAGCAUGGCGGUGGCGCCGGCGGAGGUGGUCGAAAGUCGCAAGACGGCGGCGGAUCCGCGGGCUCGGUCGCUGGCUCGGGUCCAGCUGGCUCCGCCAGCAAGUAUAAAGUCAGCAUGUGCAGGGACUUGGCUCUAAGAGGUUCUUGUCCGCGAUCCGGAAGCUGCACCUUCGCUCACAGCGACGUGGAGCUCGACAAAUAUAGAUCUAAAAAUCGCAAAUUGAGCGUCAGGACGAAUUUGAAUACGGAGUUGAAAGGAGAUAAAAGUGUGACCAAUAACAACAAGAGUUUCAAGCAGAAGGAGGAACUGGCUUAUCAUCACUCCGUGAAAGCGCACGAUAACGUACACCGAGAAAACCUUUCGGUUUCACGUCCCAUUCCAACUUUGAACGAGACCACCUUUAUCGAACCGUUGACGACGGGCUACGUGUUACCGCCCUCGCAAAAUCUAGCGCAUGUGGUGUACCCGAAGAACACGAUAGAACCUUUGCAUUGUUCACAUUACAUCGUGGGCCCGGGCCCGAUCGACUACGCCCCUGCGCCGCCUGCAGCAAAUCUCGGGAUGUGGGACGCGCCACAGAUGCCGAGCAAACUGACGUCGACGACCAAUGACAUUUCGGGUGGAGGUAAAAAGCAGCGAACGGUGGCCAAAACGCUGGCCAUGCUGUUGCAGCGCAGGAAGGAAAUUUUGAACCAGUUGGAGACGAUUGUCGGCAAGCAGUCGCCUCAGAUAAAAACGGAUUUCGAUCUGCAGACCGAUUCGUUGUUGACGUCCAACUGGGCGGCCAGUGGCGUACCCGGCACCCCGCUGUUGUUGCCGCCCAACAGCUUUCGGUUGCCCGCCGCCCCUCGUGAUCCUCCCGUUAUCCUCCACGACGACGACCUGGUUCCCUUCGAGCCUACCGCUCUGCCGCCCACUAGUAAAUACGGGCCAAUUUCCAGACAAUUCUCCAAGACUUUGAUAAGAUCCCCGAGCGGGUUGCAGGCGCCAGCGAGUUUCUACGGCGAAGGGGGCGGCCCGCCCACGCCUGCCUCGCUGACCGCGUUCAGACCGAAUUCCUGGUAUUACGGUAAUCAACCUUACGCCACGGUGGGAAGUAACGGAGGUAUGCAGGCGACACCGACCAAGGCCGCUUUCGCCGAUAAUUACGUCACUCUCAGCCGCAAUAUCGCCGUAGAGUCGCCGGCUAUUCAAUUUCCUCGUCCGGAAUGUACGUCGAAAGACCUGAUUCUCGAGUCGCAAAAGGUGAAGCAGCAACUCAAGCAUCUCGAGAAGAAGAUCAACGAUUUGAAGCUGGCGACACAGGCCAACGUGACGUUCACGGCGGGCGAGAGGCUGGCGCAGGAAUUGCAGCUGAUCGAGGCGGGCAUCCGCGAGCGCGAGAGGGAUGUGCGCAAUUGGACGGUGACAACCCCUUAUUGCACGGCGCCUACUUCCGCCGCCGCCACCACCCUCCCCCUCUGCUGCCAGCAACCCGCCGUCGACAACGAUCUACUCGCCGGCCAGGAAUACAGUCGCGAUUACAAAACUCAGGAGGAGGAUACGUACGAGGCGGGAAUAGCCCAUGACAUACGUGAGUUCGAACUGCGCUGGGAAUAUGAACUGCGGGAGGAAGAUAAGCACUGGUCCUCCAGUGAGGAUGAUCCCUCCAAAAAAUAAUAUAACAACGGUAUCUCCUACUAACCUGGAAGGAAACAUGUAUUUUCACAUGUUGAGCAAUCCUUCUUCGAUUAUUACGCUGAGAGGAAGUUUAGGGAAGGGAGAUUUUUAUCCAUGAACACAUAUGAAAAUAACGAAGACAGAUCGCUAUUUUCCGACAAUAUAUUAUACCGCAAGGUUAUUAUUAUUCUCUCUUUUAAAUUCUGUCAACUCGAAUUUUUAACGUCUUACAUGAUUCUUUUUAUGAUUAAAAUUCUUUUAAAUUUGCUAUUAUUAAUCUUAUUUCAUGUAAUCACAUUUGAAACUUUCAUUUCCUUACUUAAUCACCAAAAAUUAAAUUAACGAGUUUUUUUUUUAUUUAGAGUACAUAGACUUCAACUUUUUACGUUAAAAUAACGCAUUCUUUUAUGCAUAUUAGUUUCUAAAUCUCAACUCAAUUUCAAAACUGAUAUUCUUUAUAAAGUAAUUUUUUUUCUAAGAGACCGGGUUAUACGUAAUUGCAAUUAAUUUUUUACUACACAACAACGUGCUGACUUAAUGAUAAUUAUGAUGCGUGGAUUAUUUAUAUAUAUGGAGAAUCAUCUCUAUAAAAAAUUAAUUAUAUAAUUAUAUGUAAUAGCAUAAUUAUACACAAAGAAUGAUUGAAUAAGAAUUGAACAUUUUCAUUUAGUGUAUGUACAUGAAAACAUUCAAUUCUUUUGAAAUCACCGUCCAUAGUAAUGCGGACUUAAUUACGGGGAAUAAUCGAAAUGAUGUUAGAUAAUUAUACGGUGCAAUCGAUUUUUUUCGUAUUACUACGCAAUAACAAUCAAGAAGAUUGUCUAUUAUGCAUUUGUUUGCACAAUGCAGAUUUUCUUUUUAUUUAUUGUACACUUUAUUGCUGCCUAUUUUAGCCAGCGCGCCAUAAUGAUAAUAAUGAUAACUAUGCGACGUGGUGGGAGAGGUUUCGCUUGUCUCUUAUUAAAGAGAUUAAUUGCAAAGAGCAAAUCCUAUCGCUCCUUAUUAGAGAGAAAAGUAAUAGAGAAAAAGGUAGAACUAGAGAAAAAAUAAAGUAAUAAGAGAUAGAAAAUAUUCUACAUUUCCUCCGUCGAUAGAAGAGAUAUUGCCGCAAUAUCUCAUUAACGUCUCCAGAGAAAAUGUCUCGCGCGUAUUUGUCAGCAUAAUGAUACGUUUCUAAUACAUUGUUUUCUAAUAAGAUGUAAACCUUUUCUACUAAUGUAAAAAGUGUCUCUCUUCUUUCUAUCUCGUAGCACGCUGAAAAUCUCUGCGACGGAAUCAUUUCUAUCUCUUAGUAUUUUAUUCUGAUAAACAAUUAUGUAAUGAAUGAGCGAGGAAAUUCUACACCUGUCUCUGUUAAGCAGAGUAUAAGCGCAAAGAAAAAUUCUAUUCAAGAGAAUAGCGGUCGCUUCAUUUUAGAGGAAGGAUAAUAGGAAACUGAAUUAGAAGAAAUAAUAGUAGGAAGUCUUCGUAACAAAAUUAUUUCAUUGUGUGUAUUAUGUAACAUGCAGUGUCGUGCAAUAAUGAUGAGUUUUUCAUUUUCACCGUUUCGCUAUAUAUACAUUUCGCAGCGAAUAAUAAAAAUGUCUAAUUAGACGAGUCAAUCGUGACAGAUGCGUAUAAUUUUUGUACUUGUUAUAUACGUGUUAGUAUCGAUGACACAAUAACUUGUGACGCGAAUUUGUCCCCUCCUAUUAUUAUUGAUUCUAAUUCCACUAGCUCUCUUAUUAUCGCGCUUUGGACUUUUAAUAAUAAAAAUAUAUUGCAUGUUAAACAUGUCGCUAUGUGUACAGUGGUUACACGAUCGAUCUUACAGUUCUAUAUAUGUUAUUAUAAAUAAAACGUUCUUUGUUUUAUACGAUAUUGUUCGUGACGCGAUAUGAUAGUUGUAUACAUAUCGGAUGUACGAUAAAUCAAUCUAUACCUCUCGAGGGAAAAAGGGCCGAUGUCCGCUCCUUCAAUUUUUAGAAGCUCCAUCUAUCGAUGUUUAUCGCAAAGCAAAUGAUCAGCCUUUUAGUUUAGUUCAAAUACAAGAUGUACAAUCGAACUGAAAGAAAGAGGAGAGAAUCACAUUGGAUGAAUAUCGGGAUUUUUCACUAACGAAAAACCGAACCAGCGGACAUCGGUCCUUUUUCUUCCAAGGUACAAAGAUACACACGAUCGGCGUGCUCGCCGCUUAUCAGUAUACGGACAUUCUUUUUUCCAUAUGUUAUCUUUCUGUUAAUAUUUGCGAAUUAAAUAGCGAACUUUUUGAUAUGAAAAAAGAAAAUGCUUUACGACGUGAUAACUCGUUUUAUAACUCGCAAAUUACAAUCAUCAUGCAUACAUACAUAGACACGUGUCAAAUUAUAUUUACACACAAUUAUAAUUUACGGGUUAUAAUAAAAAUCAUAUACAUUGUUACUUUUUCUAUGCGUAUCCGUGCGUAUACGUUUUCCAACAAGCACACCACAUACACAUACACACGCGCGCGCGUAUUUUUUCCAACGGGUAUACUGUAUAAGAGAGCGAGAAGAGGUGUAAUGUGUAUAUAAACAUAAUAUAUUCGUGUACUCAAAAUAAAA